UAAUUUGACUCAACACGGGAAAUCUUACCGGGUCCGGACGUAUCGAGGAUUGACAGAUAGUUAUACAUGCCCUACAAGCAAGUAGGAGUCAGGUUUUAAACCUAAUGGCUCUUUCAUGAUUAUAUGAUAGGUGGUGCAUGGCCGUUCUUAGUUCGUGGAGUGAUCUGUCUGCUUAAUUGCGUUUCAAAUUUUUAACCGAGGACCGGGUUUUGGUUUGGCUAGUGGUCCUACGAUGACUGUGAACUGUCAUGUCUUCGGAUGUACGACUAUCGGUCUAGGAUCACAUGACUUGCCCCUGGGACUCUUUUGAACGCAACGGACGUGAUUGCAACCCCUUGUUGAGAUUAGAGAUAGUCUCGAUAUUCACUGGCCAAACUGGCUGCUUUAUGCAGUCUUGUUGAAUGGUGGAUAAACUCGGGGGACUGCUGACUAUAACCAUUUCUCAAAACAGAGGAAGGUUGCGGCAAUAACAGGUCUGUGAUGC
rnacentral:rRNA from 1 species